UUCCUCGAAGAGUCCUUGCCAGUGUCUGUAAGAUUAACGUCUAGGCUACAAUAAGAAGAUUUGAUUUCAAAAGCUUAACUUAAAGGAUGAGAGUUAAAAUAUGGGUUCAAAGGUAGAAAGAAUGGAGGAAUUCCAUAUGAGGAUAUGUUCUAGUGUCCUUCAGUACUCACCAAAUUAUUUUCAUAUUUUUCUAGCUUCUUUAUUUUCACCAGAUUCUUAUACUGAUGAAAAGUCAAAUUUGAGGACAAAGCCUUGUGAAGAAGGGGGGAUGGAUGAUGUGAUCUCAAGAAGACUUAAGCAAACCCCCAAAAGAGUGUCUCACAGGUGUGAGAUUAAGAAUUCCUACAGAAAAAUACCCGCAAGCCUGCAGAUGCACAGGCGAGAGAACUUAUGCAUGUAACAUGUGAGACCACAUGCACGCAUAUGCACGGGGGCAGCACACUCACACCCAACGCGUGCACACAUGCAGGGCACACAAAAGUGAAAUAUCGCGCCCGCGAGGAUUUCCAAUCCCACGAGAAAAAAGACUCCUACCCUAAGAUGGAUUUUCAAAAUUUUAAGGCCAAAAAGGAAAUUAUUAUUGAGACUCCCAUGUUUCCUAAAUUGUUUCCAGACCAAGAGCCAUCUAAGAGGGCCAAAGGAAGUUAGCUCAAAGAACUAAGCCCAAGAAUCGAAGGCCCUUUGACCUUGCUCAACGGGAUUGACCCAAAAGGGCUUUCCAAGGUCCAAACUGAAGGGGCCAAAAGUGUGUAAGCCCAGGGUCAGUCUUGGAGGUUCAAAACUAGCAAGCAAUCUCCCAAGAAAAUAAGGGGGUGCGUGACCAAGCAAGAUCUUUGCCUUUGGCUCGCAUGGCCGAGAAAAAAAGUGGAGAAAG
rnacentral:lncRNA from 1 species